GAAGAGAGCAGCUCUCUUGAUCUUCAAGAAGCUUCGGGCAUCGAACGUACUGAACCGACUCGUGGAAGAUAGCGCUCGGAAACAAAUUCAAGAAUGCAAGGAGGCAUAUGACAGGAGAUGAGCGCCUAAAGGAGAAUAGACAGAAGUUUGCCACAAAGAAGACAUCCACAAGGGAAUUGGAUGACAAACUCCGAAGGAACAAGAAGGCGAAGAUGGGAGGGAGCGUUCCAAUAACACCCUGUAUUUUGUACGAUGGGGCUGAUCUUCCAUAUGCAAGG